UACGAGGGGGGCAAGCGUUGUUCGGAAUUAUUGGGCGUAAAGGGUGCGUAGGCGGUGCGGUAAGUCUGUUGUGAAAUCUCCGGGCUCAACUCGGAGUCUGCAUCAGAAACUGCCGUGCUGGAGUGUGGGAGAGGUGAGUGGAAUUCCGAGUGUAGGGGUGAAAUCCGUAAAUAUACGAAGGAACGCCAAAAGCGAAGGCAGCUCUCUGGGUCCCUACCGACGCUGGGGUGCGAAAGCAUGGGGAGCGAACAGG
rnacentral:rRNA from 1 species